rnacentral:lncRNA from 10 species
GCUCUGGAAACAUCCUAUGGGGUUCACAAGGAUGCCUUAGCAGCUGACUGAAGGAAGUGUCUUUCUCCAGCCCAGGUAGCAUUUCUGCCAGUCAUGGCUGGUGCUGGGCUGACAACAGUAGUUUUCUUUCUAAGACCCAGUUCCCCUCUGGAAGGAGAAUUCUAAAGGUGGAGGAAAAGCAUCAUCUCUUCUAGAACCUCUUUGUUUUUAUCUUUCUUAUACCACAUUAGCAUGGUGGUAUUCUCCAAGGAUCUUGGCAGGCAAGAACUGGUUUGGUCACUGUAUUUGAUUGCUUUUGUGGAGUCCAAUAAAGAGGACUAUUGUUUCUAGAAGGUCACUGGAAACAUGCAUCUGGCUCUUUGGUAAACACAAUAUUAAGACCAGUGUGAGGCUGAGGGUGUCCUGAAGCCCUGCUCUGAGAUAAGAAGACUUCUGUUCACGAUUUCAGUCAGAAUCAAACAAGGUAUGCCCAGAGCUGAGACACAGCUGAGCCAAACAGGAAGAGAGGGCCGUGUCCUACAAUAAACUGCUGAUAUGUAUCUCUCUACCAUGUGCUGAAUUCAUUAGGGCAAGGGCUGGGUUCUUCUCCAGCAUUCGUAUCCCAUCCCUUUCCAGUAGCUGGACUACUUAGGACACUCUCCGUAAGUUUUUGUGAAUUAAAUUGUAUCCUCAGAUACCUCCUUAGAAUUUCCAAAUCUGUCUUCAAAUUCAAAUGGAGAUACACAUAGCAGAGGCUGACACCUCCAAAAGAGUUUGGAGGAAGUUUACCAAUAUGUUACCUUCGUUUGCAUUUCCACCUUAUUCUCUCUUUCC